rnacentral:rRNA from 1 species
GAUGAACGCUGGCGGCGUGCCUAAUACAUGCAAGUCGAGCGAACGGACGAGAAGCUUGCUUCUCUGAUGUUAGCGGCGGACGGGUGAGUAACACGUGGAUAACCUACCUAUAAGACUGGGAUAACUUCGGGAAACCGGAGCUAAUACCGGAUAAUAUUUUGAACCGCAUGGUUCAAAAGUGAAAGACGGUCUUGCUGUCACUUAUAGAUGGAUCCGCGCUGCAUUAGCUAGUUGGUAAGGUAACGGCUUACCAAGGCAACGAUGCGUAGCCGACCCGAGAGGGUGAUCGGCCACACUGGAACUGAGACACGGUCCAGACUCCCACGGGAGGCAGCAGUAGGGAAUCUUCCGCAAUGGGCGAAAGCCUGACGGAGCAACGCCGCGUGAGUGAUGAAGGUCUUCGGAUCGUAAAACUCUGUUAUUAGGGAAGAACAUAUGUGUAAGUAACUGUGCACAUCUUGACGGUACCUAAUCAGAAAGCCACGGCUAACUACGUG